rnacentral:rRNA from 1 species
CCUACGGGUGGCAGCAGUGAGGAAUAUUGGUCAAUGGACGAGAGUCUGAACCAGCCAAGUAGCGUGAAGGAUGACUGCCCUAUGGGUUGUAAACUUCUUUUAUAAAGGAAUAAAACGAGGCACGUGUGCCGUUUUGCAUGUACUUUAUGAAUUAGGAUCGGCUAACUCCGUGCCAGCAGCCGCGGUAAUACGGAGGAUGCGUGCGUUAUCCGGAUUUAUUGGGUUUAAAGGGAGCGUAGAUGGGGUGUUAAGUCAGUUGUGAAAGUCUGCGGCUCAACCGUAAAAUUGCAAUUGAUACUGGCUGUCUUGAGUACAGUUGAGGUAGGCGGAAUUCGUGGUGUAGCGGUGAAAUGCUUAGAUAUAACGAAGAACCCCGAUUGCGAAGGCAGCUUACUAGACUGUGACUGACAUUGAGGCUCGAAAGUGUGGGUAUCAAACAGGAUUAGAUACCCGAGUAGUC